GUGGAGCUGCUGCUGAGCUAUUACACCUUCCUCUUCUCCUAACAUAAGACUGAGGGCUAAGCUAGUUUGCCUUUGGCUCAUGAUUUCCAAAAGGAAUCAUCUCCAGGGAGAAUGAGAAUCCUUGGAUCGUUAUAGCUCUGUUAAAAUAAGCUGGGAUUGAUCAGAGAAAGAGAGUUGAAAUAAUAAUACAGAAAACACUCCAAAGAGUUCAAGUUCCCAUAACAUGAAGAAUUCAUAAGAAGCUUGUCUAUCCUUAAAAGCAAAGGCCAUGACCAGCCAAAAGAACCUAGAAGAGGAGACAGAAAAGUUUUCCUCCCUUACAAGAUACACCUUCCAAGAGGAACCAGCCAAUCUCCAUCAGCUCCACAAUACAGUUUAGGAGUGUCACGCUCUUCUGCACUCUUCACACAAGAGCCCCUUACUUCAACCAAGGAGGAAGAAUCAACUCUUGGGAUAGUGUCUGGAAACACGGCCAGAUUACGAACAGUAAAGGGGCACUUUUUGUAGAAAACACGGACCGAAACUAGGGCAAUGCAUGCCCCAAUGUCUUGAAAAGCCAGAUAAAAUCCCUUCCUUUCUACAGGCCCCACCUCACGAACUUCAGUGUUGAGUUUGAGGAUGCGAUCACCCAAAUCCAUCUGGGUAAAACUUUCAUCAGCAGCAAUUGUGUCAAUCUUUGUAUACUGGCUUGGCUUGAAUUUAAUUCCAUGGGACUCAUCUGAUUCCACAUAAUAUAGAUUAAAUGUUUCUUUGCAAGUCCCCAAGACCCAUGGGAUGCUGUUACAAUCCCUCAGUGUGAACUUCAUUUCCACAUAAAUUUUCUGAGCUGCAUCACGGGAGAUCCAGUUUGUACGAAGCCAGUUGUUUUGGUUUGGUUCCAUCACAUUACAUACCUGGUAUGUGUGAAUGGGCCUAUUAUGUUCAUCCAUUUCAGUGAUGGCAUCCCACUGCAAAAAGCAAAAAUAAAAUAAAU